rnacentral:rRNA from 1 species
CCUACGGGGGGCAGCAGUGGGGAAUAUUGGGCAAUGGGCGCAAGCCUGACCCAGCAACGCCGCGUGAAGGAAGAAGGCUUUCGGGUUGUAAAGUUCUGUUCUCAGGGACGAAGAAAGUGACGGUACCUGAGGAAUAAGCCACGGCUAACUACGCGCUAGCAGACGCGGUAAUAAGUAGGUGGCAAGCGUGAUCAGGAUGUAUUGGGUGUAAAGGGCAUGUAGGCGGGAGUGAAAGUCAGAGGUGAAAACUCCGGGCUCAACCCUGGGCCUGCAUUUGAAACUGGGUUUCGUGAGUGCUGGAGAGGCAAGCGGAAUUCCGUGUGUAGCGGUGAAAUGCGUAGAUAUACGGAGGAACACCAGUGGCGAAGGCGGAUUACUGGACAGUAACUGACGCUGAGGCGCGAAAGCGUGGGGAGCAAACAGGAUUAGAUACCCGGGUAGUC